GGCUAACUACGUGCCAGCAGCCGCGGUAAUACGUAGGUGGCGAGCGUUGUCCGGAUUUACUGGGCGUAAAGGGUCUGUAGGAGGUUUGUUAAAUACGGGGUGAAAUCCGGGAGCUCAACUCCCGAACUGCCCUGUAGACUGACAGACUGGAGUACCGGAGAGGUAAGCGGAAUACCAAGUGUAGCGGUGGAAUGCGUAGAUAUUUGGUAGAACACCAAGAGCGAAGGCAGCUUACUGGCCGGCAACUGACUCUGAAAGACGAAAGCAUGGGGAGCAAACAGGAUUAGAUACCCUGGUAGUCCAUGCCGUAAACGUUGUCAACUUGAUGUGGGUGGAUUUAGUCCUAUCCGUAUCGAAGCCAACGCGAUAAGUUGACCGCCUGGGGACUACGGCCGCAAGGCUAAAACUCAAAGGAAUUGACGGGGGCCCGCACAAGCGGUGGAGCAUGUGGCUUAAUUCGAUGCAACGCGAAGAACCUUACCUGGGCUUGAAAUAUACCGGACAGUCUGUGAAAGCAGAUCUCCCUUCGGGGCUGGUAUACAGGUGCUGCAUGGCUGUCGUCAGCUCGUGCCGUGAGGUGUUCGGUUAAGUCCGGCAACGAGCGCAACCCGUGUCAUUAGUUGCCAACAGGUAAAGCUGGGGACUCUAAUGAGACUGCCUGUGUUAAGCAGGAGGAAGGCGCGGAUGAUGUCAAGUCAGUAUGGCCCUUACGCCCAGGGCUGCACACGUGCUACAAUGGCCGGCACAAUGAGAAGCGAAGUCGCGAGGCGGAGCAAAUCUACAAAACCGGUCUUAGUUCAGAUUGCAGUCUGCAACUCGACUGCAUGAAGUUGGAAUCGCUAGUAAAUGCGUAUCAGCUACGACGCAUUGAAUACGUUCCCGGGCCUUGUACACACCGCCCGUCACAUCAUGGGAGUUGAUUGCACCCGAAAUCGUUGAUCCAACCUGCAAAGGAGGAAGGCGCCUAAGGUGUGGUCGAUGACUGGGAUGAAGUCGUAACAAGGUAGCCGUAGGGGAACCUGCGGCUG
rnacentral:rRNA from 1 species